rnacentral:rRNA from 1 species
UACGAAGGGGGCUAGCGUUGUUCGGAAUUACUGGGCGUAAAGCGAACGUAGGCGGUGUUCCAUGUCAGAGGUGAAAGCCUGGGGCUCAACUCCAGAAUUGCCUUUGAAACGGGAACGUUUGAGUCCGAGAGAGGGUGGCGGAAUUCCUAGUGUAGAGGUGAAAUUCGUAGAUAUUAGGAAGAACACCAGUGGCGAAGGCGGCCACCUGGCUCGGUACUGACGCUCAGGUUCGAAAGCGUGGGGAGCAAACAGG